rnacentral:rRNA from 1 species
CGCGAAUUCGCCCUUACGGUUACCUUGUUACGACUUCACCCCAGUUACCGGCUCCACCUUCGGCAGCUCCUUCCUUUCGGUUAGGUCACUGACUUCGGGCAUUUCCGACUCCCAUGGUGUGACGGGCGGUGUGUACAAGACCCGGGAACGUAUUCACCGCGACAUUCUGAUUCGCGAUUACUAGCGAUUCCAGCUUCAUGUAGUCGAGUUGCAGACUACAAUCCGAACUGGGACGUUAUUUUUGGGAUUUGCUCAACGUCACCGUCUCGCUUCCCUUUGUUUACGCCAUUGUAGCACGUGUGUAGCCCUGAUCAUAAGGGGCAUGAUGAUUUGACGUCAUCCCCGCCUUCCUCCCGGUUAUCCCGGGCAGUCUCUCCAGAGUGCCCAGCUCUACCUGCUGGCUACUGGAAAUAGGGGUUGCGCUCGUUGCGGGACUUAACCCAACAUCUCACGACACGAGCUGACGACAACCAUGCACCACCUGUCUCCAAUGCCCCGAAGGGAAAGUGACUUUGCUCACUCGUCAUCGGGAUGUCAAGACCAGGUAAGGUUCUUCGCGUUGCUUCUAAUUUAACCACAUGCUCCACCGCUUGUGCGGGU